GACGAACGCUGGCGGCGUGCCUAAUACAUGCAAGUCGAACGGACAGACGAUGCGCUUGCUCCUCUGACGAUAGCCGCACGCGUGUGUGUCACGCGUGUAUAACCUACCUGUAAGACUGGUAUCACUACGGGAAAGCGGCGCUUAUACCGGAUGAUAUAUUGCUCCACGUUGUUCGAUAGUGAGAUACGGUUUUUCUGGCUCGUCUCGAUGGAUCCGCGCCGCAUUGGCUAGUAGGUAAGGUAACGGCCUAUGAAGGGAACCAUGCGUGGCCGACCUGAGAGGCUGGUCGGCCACAUUGGAAGGGGGACGCGGUCAAGACUACUACGGGAGGCAGCAGACGGGAAUCGGACGCAAUGGGCGAAAGCAUGACGGAGCAACGCCGCGUGAGUGACGAAGGUCUUCGGAGCGUAAAACUCUGUUAUGGGGUAAGAACAAAUGUGGAAGUAAACAUGGACGGAUUGACGGUAACUAAUAAGAAAGCAACGGCUAACUACGUG
rnacentral:rRNA from 1 species